CCGGCUCCGCAUCCAGCCCCGGGGCAGCUCCGAACUCGCGGUGCCCGCGGAAGGCGCUCGGCCGGCGGGCAGCGCGGAGCGGAGCUUUGGCGUCUCCAUCCCUUUCC
ensembl:miRNA